UGUGAGAGCAGAGCCGGAGAUGAACCUGAGACAAGGUUCCAGCCCUACGGGCGCAGCAGGCGCGAAACCUCCGCAAUGUGAGAAAUCGCGACGGGGGGAUCCCAAGUGCCAUUCUUAACGGGAUGGCUUUUCUUAAGUGUAAAAARCUUUUGGAAUAAGAGCUGGGCAAGACCGGUGCCAGCCGCCGCGGUAACACCGGCAGCUCUAGUGGUAGCUGUUUUUAUUGGGCCUAAAGCGUUCGUAGCCGGUUUGAUAAGUCACUGGUGAAAUCCUGUAGCUUAACUGUGGGAAUUGCUGGUGAUACUGUUGAACUUGAGGUCGGGAGAGGUUAGCGGUACUCCCAGGGUAGAGGUGAAAUUCUGUAAUCCUGGGAGGACCACCUGUGGCGAAGGCGGCUAACUGGAACGAACCUGACGGUGAGGGACGAAAGCUAGGGGCGCGAMCCGGAUUAGAUACCCGGGUAGUCCUAGCCGUAAACGAUGCGGAC
rnacentral:rRNA from 1 species